GUACAAAGAACUUUUCAAAAAUUUAUGAAUAUGUUUAAGCCUGCAUCGCGGGCAAAACACCUAGUAUCUAUCUAUCUAUAUAUAUAUAAAAUAAUAAAACAAAGUUUUCUCUCAUCUCAGCUCUCCACAUCAUCAAGCAAUGAUGGGCAAAUGAGGACACGUGUCCAAACUAAAGCGUUAUAUGUUUCAGCAGAGUUUUCGUGGGCUCCACAUGUAGGUUUCAAAUAAAUUCGUCUGGGCCUUAGUUAAAUGAAAGUGGCCCACAUCUUUUAACCCUAGGAAACUCCGCCUCUUCACCUAAGAGCAUCGUUAACGCGGUAUGCAACUCCCGUCUCUUCUUAUUAAUAGCAAUUAAAAAAAAAAAAUUAGGUUAAAUAGAAAGAAACGUCGCUUAAUUAGGAGUUAGAAGAGACGGUCUUUUGAGACACGUGUUGACUAAAUAGCGUUCAUCUCUUUCUCUCUUCCCACUCUGUGUCUCUCUCCCUCUCGUCGACUAUUCUCCAAAAUCUCUCAGACAAUACUCGAUGGCGACGAUUCCUCCCCAAUUCUUCAGAGCAAGUCAAAUAUAUUUCUUAUGUGUGUUAGAUUAUGGACGGAGGAGGUGGCGACGGUGGUGGUGCCGCGUACAACUCACACACGGUGGGGGAGGUUUUAGGGAUUUUAAGGGUCGUAGGAAUGGCAUGAUUAAGGCUCUAACCACUGUUUCGUAGUGUCACAAGUUCUUGAUGAGCAGAAGCUGUGUCAGAUACGAAGAAAGCUAUUGAGUUGGAUCCUGCAUUGGCCAAAGCUUACUUAAGAAAAAGAUGAAUUGGCCACUAGAGGUUGUGGCUUUGUUUCCUCAGCUACUUGGAUACAGCAUGGAGAAGGGAUUGUGCCUAGGUGUAACGUAAUCAAAGCUCUCAUCGCCAAAGGGUUGCUUGGAAGUGAACCCCUUUCGAUUCCAUGUGUCUUGACAUAUACCAAUGAAGCCUUCUUAAAAAGGUAUGUGAUGAAGCACGAUGAUAAGCAGCUUGUGACUUAGUUAUUAGCCAUCUUCAUGAAAGAUAGUAAUAAAAUAGAUUAGAAAAUAUAUAUGUUAGUGUUAUCUUCAGGUUGGCAUUGUACGGUUGUAAUUAUAACGCUUGGUUUAUCGGUUUCAUCAGAAAGAAACAUUUGUUAUGUUCUUUCAUGAUUCAGAAACAUCAUGAUGUUAUUUUUUGUGAAUCAUAUUUCAUUCAUGCAAUUUAAACUGGUAAAUUCAUGCAAUUAAAAUGUAUAAUAAUUUUUUUAAGAACCUUUAAUUAAGAGCCUUGCAAUGGAGCAUAAAAAUGUU